AAUUAAAGUCUUACUUAUCUUUUUUUUUUUAAAUUAUAUGGGAGAAAAAUCUUUAUGUUUAGUAUACUAAAGAAAAACUUUUAUUUGUUAUAGUAAAUUAGUACUGUUAAGGNAAUGGAUGAAAUAAUUAAAAAUUUAUUUUUAUAUAAGUAUGUUUAUUUUACAGUACCUUUUGUAUCAGGGUUAAUCAAUUAUAUUAAUUUAUUUUAAAAUCUCGAUUUCAGAAGAGCUAAUUUAUUAUUUUAUUUAUUGUGGAAUAACUAUUAAUAAUAUAAAUUAGGAAAGAAAUUUYAUUCGGUUUUGAAGGUAUCUAGUUUUUUAAGAAAUAAAUUUAAUUUAUUCUUACUAUUUAAUUAUUAUAUUAUAAUAUAAGUUAUAAAGUAAGUUAAAAAUUAUAGGGGAUAAGCUCUAUAUUUUUCUAUAAAUAUUUUAUUCAAUUAAUUUUUGUAGGGUUAAAAAUAUCCAUCAAUAGAAAGUAUGUUAUAAUUUAUAUUUAUUAUUGAUUAAUUUUAUUUUUUUUAGUAUCUUAUUAAAAUAUUAAAUUAAACUUUUUAUUUUAAGUAAUAAUGAUUAAAUUAGUAUAAAAUAUUGUUUAUUAUAUUAUUAUUUUUAUGAUAAAAUAAGGAACUCGGCAAAUAUAGUUCUCGCCUGUUUAUCAAAAACAUGUCCUUUUGAAUUUAAUGGAAGGUCUGACCUGCCCAGUGAUGAAUYUAACGGCCGCGGUAUACUGACCGUGCAAAGGUAGCAUAAUCAUUAGUCUUUUAAUAGAGGGCUGGAAUGAAAGGUUUAACGAGGAACUAGCUGYCUCAUUUUAUUUGUUWUAAAAUUKAAUUUUUUAKUCAWAAAGCUAARAUUUUAUUGGAAGACGAGAAGACCCUAUAGAUCUUUACAUAAAUUUAUUUAAAUGGUUUUAUAUUAUUAUUUUAUAUUAAUUUGUGUUUUGGUUGGGGUGACAAAAAUAUAAAUAUAACUUUUUUAUUUAUUUAACAUUGAUUUAUGAAUAUUAGAUCCAUUAUUAUUGAUUAUUAGACUAAGUUACCUUAGGGAUAACAGCGUAAUCCUCCUCCAGAGUUCAUAUUUACAGGAUGGGCUUGCGACCUCGAUGUUGGAUUAAGAUAAUAUUUAGGGGAACGCC
rnacentral:rRNA from 1 species